GAUGAACGCUAGCGACAGGCUUAACACAUGCAAGUCGAGGGGCAGCGGGGGAGUAGCAAUACUCCCGCCGGCGACCGGCGCACGGGUGAGUAACACGUAUGAAACCUGCCCGUAGCAGGGGGAUAAGCGGAAGAAAUUCCGUCUAAUACCGCGUAACAACCCAUGGAGGCAUCUCCGUGGGUUUAAAGGAAGCGAUUCCGGCUACGGAUGGUCAUGCGUCGCAUUAGCUAGUUGGCGGGGUAACGGCCCACCAAGGCGACGAUGCGUAGGGGUUCUGAGAGGAAGGGCCCCCACACUGGUACUGAGACACGGACCAG
rnacentral:rRNA from 1 species